UUUUUAUGGAGAGUUUGAUCCUGGCUCAGGAUGAACGCUGGCGGCGUGCCUAAUACAUGCAAGUCGAGCGAACAGACGAGGAGCUUGCUCCUCUGACGUU
rnacentral:rRNA from 1 species